CGUUGCCGUUUGCUGUUUUUUCACAAAUUAAUAUUUCUUCUCAAUAUUCUGAUUUUGGAUACCACUAGCGACAUCUAUUGGCGUGAUUUAGAAUUAAUUUGCAAUAGAUGGCGCUUUUUGCUCAGUUAAUUGAAAUAUACUUUGAUGAAACAUUUCCUAGUGUUUUUAUAUUGAUUAUUCUAUUUUUCAAAUAGAAUAUUUUCAGUGUUCUGGAAAUUGUUUUCAUCAUGGUUUUAUUAGUACAGUAUUUACUUUUUCAAACGGCGAAACGAAACGUAUCGCGAUGUCUAUGACAGAGCGGCUGUCAGUGGAGCUGUCAAAUCACUUAGGAAUUUGUCGAUCGUGCGCAACCGCAAUUUGAUUAUUUUCGGGAAUGUAAUUCCUUUUAUUUCAAAUCGGGUGGUGCAAAAUGCAUCCACGAUAAUUUCUUGAUGAAUAAAUAAAAAUAACACACAUGAGGUAAGUUCCCGUCGGAGAAUUUAUUUAUUUUUCGUGAUUGAUAUUUUUCGUAUUCCAGUACGUGGUAUUUUAUGUGAUCGUUUCUUUCAGAGAUUCCCUAAAUCCUAUUCGGAUGAGGGUGGGUUGCUGAAAACUGCGAGUGAAGCUUAAAUUAGCGAACAGUUUUCAUGCGGGAUUUCAUAUUUUACACUAUUUUUAUAGACAUUUUAGAUAUUUCAAUAUUUCAUAUUGAUUUCUCAUCAUUUGGUAUAAAUUAUUUCUCCUUUCUAAACUGCUGAUCUCUUCGAAUUUCCUCCUUGUCAUCAAACCUCUGUCUCUGCAAGAGUUUGAACGCUUUCCUGUCGAGGAGACGCAAGAGCUUCAUCUGGCACUGCGCGCUUGAGGCCGUGGAGGACGCUGCUUGUAACCUAAAAGUGUGUGAGACCCGUUGGACCCCGGAAGAAGAGAGGAACGUUCAGGGUAACGGCUUAUAACCGCAUGGCUUCCAAGGUACCCACUUUUCCAUCCUUCAAGUAGGAGUCUUUCCGACCUGACUUCGCGCAGUUAUCUUAACUAGUAGAGUCUUUUAAUAUUUAGGCUGAGUUUUAAGAAAUUUGUAGUGGCAAUAAUAUUCACCAAACCGAACCUAAUUAACGACCCUGAAUCCCUUGAGAUUGGCACUAUUACAGUAGUUAUUAUAAUAUCGUAAUUGUUAACUUUAUACGAGCAUACGAGAUAAAAAUAAAUUGUGUCAAUUGA